ACCCAAGAAGUUGCUCCAUUGUCAUGUCCUCUAAAUCUUUUGUCUCUUUGAUAACGGUGACAAUAUGCUCAAACUUUGGAUCUACCGAUCUAAGAACUUUCUCCAUGAUUCUUACAUCAUCAUACUUCUCUCUGUUUCUUUUUAGAUUAUUAGUAACCGUCAAAACUCUUGAGAAGUAAUCAGAGAUAAGUUCACCUUCUUUCAUAUGCAAAGCUUCAAACUCUCCUCUUAGUGUUUGAAGACGNN
rnacentral:lncRNA from 1 species